GACGAACGCUGGCGGCACGCUUAACACAUGCAAGUCGAACGAGAGAAGAGAAGCUUGCUUUUCUGAUCUAGUGGCGGACGGGUGAGUAACACGUGAGCAAUCUGCCUUUCAGAGGGGGAUACCGAUUGGAAACGAUCGUUAAUACCGCAUAACAUAAUUGAACCGCAUGAUUUGAUUAUCAAAGAUUUAUCGCUGAAAGAUGAGCUCGCGUCUGAUUAGCUAGUUGGUAAGGUAACGGCUUACCAAGGCGACGAUCAGUAGCCGGACUGAGAGGUUGAUCGGCCACAUUGGGACUGAGACACGGCCCAGACUCCUACGGGAGGCAGCAGUGGGGAAUAUUGCACAAUGGAGGAAACUCUGAUGCAGCGAUGCCGCGUGAGGGAAGAAGGUUUUAGGAUUGUAAACCUCUGUCUUCAGGGACGAAAAAAAGACGGUACCUGAGGAGGAAGCUCCGGC
rnacentral:rRNA from 1 species